rnacentral:lncRNA from 1 species
UUUUUUCUUCUCUAUUUUAUUUUUUCAUUUUUAUUUUCUUUUUCUACCAACUUCUGAAAUAUUACAAACAUAAUUAUUCAACCCCACACAACUCCAAACAAGACUCUUUCAACCCUUUGAAUAUGGUGAUAACAUUGUUUUUUACUUCUCGAUUUGUAAUGAGUUUUAAACAAAAAAGGGAUAAUAGGCUUAAGGGGGUUUCAAACAAGGGAUGGUAUUAUUUCAUGGUUGGCUU